UCCAACUUAUCGCUGGCGGUCUCCUGCGAGUGCUCCCCUUGCGGGGGUGGCAACACAGGACGAGGGUUGCGCUCGUUGCGGGACUUAACCCAACAUCUCACGACACGAGCUGACGACAGCCAUGCAGCACCUCGACCGGACCCCCUUGCGGGGUAAAGAUGUUUCCACCCUCGUUGACCGGCCGUUCGAGCCCAGGUAAGGUUCUUCGCGUUGCGUCGAAUUGAACCACAUGCUCCACCGCUUGUGCGGGCCCCCGUCAAUUCCUUUGAGUUUCAGCCUUGCGACUGUACUCCCCAGGCGGCACGUUUAACGCGUUAGCUCCGGCACGGAUGAACUGAAUCACCCACACCAAACGUGCAUCGUUUAGGGCGUGGACUAC
rnacentral:misc_RNA from 1 species